UUCCGGUUGAUCCUGCCGGACCCUACUGCUAUCGGGGUGGGACUAAGCCAUGCGAGUUGUGCGUCUUCGAGCCAUGGUGGAGGCGCGGCAUACGGCUCAGUAACACGUGGCUAACCCACCCUUGGGACGGGGACAACCCCGGGAAACUGGGACUAAUCCCCGAUGGGUGAGGAGACCUGGAAUGGUUCCUCGCCGAAAGGGCGCUGAAACCAUGCUUUUCAGCGUUGCCCAAGGACGGGGCCGCGGCCGAUCAGGUUGUUGGUGAGGUAAUGGCUCACCAAGCCUUUGACCGGUACGGGCCGUGAGAGCGGGAGCCCGGAGAUGGGCACUGAGAUAAGGGCCCAGGCCCUACGGGGUGCAGCAGGCGCGAAAACUCCGCAAUGUGCGAAAGCGUGACGGGGCUAUCCCGAGUGCCGUCCGCUGAGGAUGGCUUUUCCACGGUGUAAGGAGCCGUGGGAAUAAGGAGAGGGCAAGACUGGUGUCAGCCGCCGCGGUAAUACCAGCUCUCCGAGUGGUAGGGAUGAUUAUUGGGCUUAAAGCGUCCGUAGCCGGCUCGGUAAGUCUCUCGUCAAAUCCAGCGACCUAAUCGUUGGACUGCGGGAGAUACUGUUGGGCUAGGGGGCGGGAGAGGCCGACGGUAUUCUCGGGGUAGGGGUGAAAUCCUAUAAUCCCGGGAGGACCGCCAGUGGCGGAGGCGGUCGGCUAGAACGCGCUCGACGGUGAUGGACGAAAGCUGGGGGAGCGAACCGGAUUAGAUACCCGGGUAGUCCCAGCUGUAAACGAUGCGGGCUAGGUGUUGGGGGGGUUACGAACCUCUUCAGUGCCGCAGCGAAGGCAUUAAGCCCGCCGCCUGGG
rnacentral:rRNA from 1 species